rnacentral:lncRNA from 1 species
GGUGCAGAGGUGGUAGGCCUGGCGGAUCCGAGCGGACUGAGUGGAGUCGGAACCCGGGGCUCUGGUUGGGCUGGGUUUCCGUGGCUCUGUUUCUGAAAGGACGGCUCUUAACAGGGCCCCAAAGGACUAGGGAGAAGCACGGCUGUAUCUGAGUUCCGAUGGGAUGGGCGCGCGCGGGAUGGAACAGUGAGGGGGCACCAUGCCUGGCCUGGCGCGGCACUCCCGGAACCGCUGUGGCUGAGGGGCGGGUUCGCGAAUUUUAAAAUGCCUUCAUGCAGUUGGUUGAAUAUGUGAAGACGUUAUUCUGGGAUACUUUGGCCUUUACAAGCCGCCCCUAGGAAAUGUCCCUCCAGGUCUGGGAAGCUGCGACGGAAUACAUAGGAGAUAGCACAAGUUAUUUGGUGUGAUGUGAGCCAAAACGCGUUUGGACUUGUAGGUCGCUAAAGUUGCCAUUGCACAGGAGAAACACAAGCAUUCCCCUGUGUCCACAACCCCAGUACACUUUGCAUUUUAGUAAGAGGCUAGGCACACCAAGAAGACAGAUGAGCGCCGCAGCCGCCUUUCUUCCUAGGCAUGUGAAGGGAAGAUGACCUUGCUGGGCAAGAGUGCACAUGACUGGACAGUGAGGAGCUGCAGAAAGCCCCAAAGCCAGGAUGGCACUGAAAGCCAAGAAAGGAUUGAAAGGAUCCAUUGAUGACGUCCUUGGUGACCUCCUGGGAGAUGACACAGUACUGCUUGAGAAGCCUGUUGAGACAGCGUCACAUGCCAAAGACACAUCGAGUUCACCUCAGUGGCUUUCCUCAAAGGCAAAGUUCCUCCCAAAAGACAGUGCUGGGGGACUGGCAGCAGCCGAUGCUGAGGUCUCCAGUGACUCGGAUGCAGACCCACAGGUCUUCUUGCAGAACAUGAAGGACCUGGACAGCAUGGACGAUGAUCUCUUUGGUCGGAUGAAGUCUCACCCACCCUCUGGCAAAGGAACUGCAAAGGCCUCUGGGAAAGAAGUACCUAGCAAGCCCAAACCUGCUGGCACAUUGACAGCUGAUGAGAAAGGGGACGCCAUUCCCACUAAGAAGCCACCACCAGCUUCCAGCAGGUUUGGGCUUCAGUACAAGAAGUUUUCCUUUGAAGACUUUGAGGACCCGCUGGCGGGGCUUCUCUCUGAUGAGGAGGAAGAGACUGCCAAGAAGCCACCUGCAACGGAGAGCAAACUUGCUCCCAAGAGCCCCAGCACAGCCGCAGGCCAAGGUCCUUCUGUUCCUCUGACUCCUGGGGAUACACCCAUCCGGAAGAAAGAACCUCUCUUUGAUGAAGGGGAUGACAUCAUGACCACCCUGGGCUUUGAAGACAGCCCCAAGGCAGAGAGGAAGAAGGCAGGAGACCAGGAAGGGCCCCUCCCUGCUCGCUCCAAGCUGGAUGAACUGCUGGGUCGGGGCACAGCUGCCAAGCUCCUCCCUCGCCCAGGCACUGGGGAACGCAGAGAGUUCAAGUUAGACAAGAAGUAUCAGAAGCCAGAGGGUGAGGCUGCCAAGAGGAUGGGAGGGGAGAAGUCUGUAUCGGCUAUGAGACAAGGAAGACAGCUGGGAUGACGAGAUCCUCACCUUUGGGGCUUACCAGCCUACCGUGGCCUCCUCUGAGGGCCGACAGUCCCGCAGGCAGUCAGUCAGGUUCUUGGGAGAAGGUGGCCCAGACCUUAAGGGAGAAACCCUAAGCUUCAAACAGAGCCCUCCACCAGCUUCCAGUCCUAUCCACCCCAGGAAAGGAGGAGCCGACUGGUUAGGCCUUAAGGACGAUGACCUGGACCUGCUGUCUCCCUCUCCUGUUCAAAAGGCCCAACAGGAAGACUCAGCCAUGACACCCUCUCUCCUACCUCCAACAAACCAGCCCUCAGCCCCAGAGCCACACUCUGUCCCAACUGGACUUCCCUCAGCAGCAAAGCCACCAGCCAAGGGUGCAAGGCCCUCUGUCAAAGCCAGCCAGGUCUCCUCACCGAAAGCCUCUGAGGAGAAAGAGGAUGACUGGUUGAGCCAUGUCAUAUCUCAGAAGAAAUCCCAAAAUCUAGCCAGAGAAGAGCGUACUGGGCCCUCCAAGGAUCUGAACUCACCAGGGUCACGGAGUCAGAUCCCUGCUAGCAGCCUUCCUAUCGCUAGCACUCAGGUCCUUGAGCAGGCCUCUGCUGGAGAAGCCUCAAGACCAACCACACAAGGAAUUGCAGCUGUCAGGCCUGCUGUCACAGGGGCCCCCGUGAGUUGGAGCCAAGCUACCACUGUUGUCCCUGUAGAUGACCCCAAGAGAGGAACGGCCUCUGCCUCUGGGGACUUCUCUAGCAGAGAGCCUGCAGUUUACAUCCCGCAUUCCCAGGAACCUACCGGGCUCUCUGUGCCUAUCCAGGUAGACCCUCCUCCCAGAGUCCAUGAUGCAGAGUCUGCUGCCAGGCUCGGGAUUCCAGAAGCAGCUCCUGGCAGCCCAAGGGCAGCUUCAGAGCAGCACUGCCCAGCUUCAGGUUGAGCUGCUGCAGAGCCAGACCAAGCUGUCAGAGCUGGAGGCCCAGGUGCGGAAGUUGGAGCUGGAGCGUAGCCAGCACAGGAUGCUGCUGGAGAGUUUGCAGCAGCGGCACCAGGCAGACCUGGAGCUCAUUGAGGACGCGCACAGAAGCCAUGUCAAGGUGCUAGAAACAUCCUACCAGCAGCGGGAGGAGCAGCUCCGCAGAGAGAAGGAGGUGCUGUCCGCUCAGCAUGCAUCGUACUGCCAGGAAGCUGAGCGGGCCAGGACUGAGCUCGUAGCCCAGCACCAGCGGCAGAUGGCCAUGGCUGAGCAGGAGAAGGACCAGGAGGUUGCACGGCUUCGGGAGCUUCAGCAGGCGUCCAUCCUAGAGAUGCGCAAGGACCACGAGCACCAGCUACAGCGGCUGAAAAUGCUGAAGGACCAAGAGAUCGAUGCUGUCACCAGUGCUACCUCCCAUACUCGGUCCCUGAACGGCAUCAUCGAGCAGAUGGAGAAGUUUUCCAGCAGCUUGAACACGCUGUCCUCCCGUGUGGAGGCCUCCCACGUCACCACCUCACAGGAACGAGAGUUGGGGAUUCGGCAGCAAGAUGAGCAGUUGCGAGCUCUGCAGGAGAGGCUGGGCCGGCAGCAACGAGACAUGGAGGAAGAGCGGAGCAGGCUACAGGAGGUCAUCGGGAAGAUGGAAGUCCGCCUGAGUGAGCAGAGCCGGCUCCUGGAGCAGGAACGCUGGCGGGUGGCUGCUGAGAAGUCCAAGGCAGAGUCAGCCCAACGCACUCUGGAGGAGCAGAGGAAGAUCAUGGUCCAGCAGGUUGCCAUGGAGAGGGAGGAGCUGGAGAGAGCCAAGAGCGCCUUGCUGGAGGAGCAGAAGUCAGUCAUGAAUAAGUGUGGGGAGGAGCGGCGGCGCCUGGCAGCAGAGUGGGCUGAGUUUUUCACACAGCAGAAGCUGAGUAAGGAGCGGGCAGAGCGCGAGGCUGAGAGGGCGAUGCACGCAGACACCCAGCGAGAGAGCACCAUCAUCAGCCUGACCAAGGAGCAGGCAGAGCUGACAGUUAGGGCCUGUGAGCUCCGGGCCAAGGAGGAAAAGCUGAUUGCUGAGAGGGAGGCUUUGGAGAGAGAGCGCCAAGAGCUCCGACUAGAGAAGGACAGGUUGCACAAAGCCAGCCUGCGCCUCCAGGCCCGCGCCCAGGAGGUGGAACACAUGAGUAAGGUAGCCUCCAAGAAGUAUGAGGAGGGUGAGCAGGCCUUGCAGGAGGCCCGGCAGAUGCAGACUGAGCAGCAGGGCCGGCUGCAGGUGGUCCAGAGGCAGCAGGAGUGGCUGCGGCAGCAGGAGCAGCGUGUGCAUCAGGCAAGCACCUGAGCCUGGCCCAGCAGCGGCUGCAGCUGGACCGCGUGCGGCAGGAAGCACCUUCCAGCCUUCCAGGGCUGCCCCCCAGAGCCCAGGGCCCAGCAGCCUCCAGCCUGGAUGCUGUCCAGGCCCCUGCUUCCACUGCUCCUCAGCGUAGCCAGACGGCUGCCGUGCAGAUGCCCACACACCUUCUUGCCAAGCUGCUGCUGCUGAAGCACACAGCAGAGGAGGACCAUGACUUCUUGGAGAAUGAACAGUUCUUCCUGGAGACUCUGAAGAAAGCGCCUUACAAUAUGGCUUACCACUCUGCCUGAAAAUGCCCAUUGCCUCCUCGGCGAGCAUCUGGCCCUGCAGCUCUCUCCCACGGCCGACCAGCUCCCAUGUCCAUGAAAGGCUCCUCAGAACGUACUGCACUACCCAGGGCCUGAUUACAAGUUCUUGUAUGGACAGGGCUCUGUGUGUUCUUCCCAGGUGCUGUGGGACAGUCAGGCCAUCUUACUUUACUGCCCAUCGCCCGCUCUUGUCUCAUAGUAAGACCCCAGCUCGUACCUGCUUCCACGGCAGCCACUGGGGGUCCCUUAUGUCUGGGCUACUUUUGAGGCAGGGGCUCACUUCAGGGCAGUAGGGUAGUACACCAUGAACAGCCUUUACUUUCCCUGAGAGGUCCUUCAAAUGGGAAGAAGGAGAAGGGCCUUCUAGCUGAGUGAGUGGGAGGCCUGGCCAGGGGCAAGGGUGGCCGCUGGGGCUCCCUGUGCCUCAGUGUUUCCGAGCUUCACCCCCCGGCAGCUCACACACAGUCCCAUUACUUCCCAGUGACCAGCUAAUUCAGCAGCACUGGUUUCUUCUGGCCUACCCAGGUCCCCACCAGAGUUGGGUGGGGAGCUGUAAGGAGUAGAGGUGGGGUGGGGAGAAGCAGAGGAGGAAGGGAGAUUGUGAGAGCUAGAGACUCUGCCUGAAGACUGGGAAGGAGCACUGGGGCCGGCUGCCACUAUCUAGCCAAGAGCCUCUAGUAGGACAUCAGGAGAGGGACAGCAGAGGGGAAAUGAUCCAGCCGACCUAGGACUCAGAGAAUCUGCAGUUGCUGC